UACGUAGGGACCAAGCGUUGUUCGGAUUUACUGGGCGUAAAGGGCGCGUAGGCGGCUUGACAAGUCACUUGUGAAAUCUCCGGGCUUAACUCGGAACGGCCAAGUGAAACUGUCAUGCUAGAGUGCAGAAGGGGCAAUCGGAAUUCUUGGUGUAGCGGUGAAAUGCGUAGAUAUCAAGAGGAACACCUGAGGUGAAGACGGGUUGCCGGGCUGACACUGACGCUGAGGCGCGAAAGCCAGGGGAGCAAACGGG
rnacentral:rRNA from 1 species